rnacentral:lncRNA from 1 species
AGGGUGAGGGCGGCCGCGGCGGCGCCUGAGUGCCAGGGUGUCCAGCUCCCAUGUCCAGCUCCAGCGUGCAUGUCCAAGAUUUGAACGUGUAACGCCAGGUUUUAAAGUCCUUGGAGCAGCGCACCGCACCUAGGGUGCCUAGGGUCCAUGGGAAGCCUGAGCAGAGGGUAACAUAGAGGUACAUCGCCCACAGGAGAGUAACGUUCAGGAGGGGGGCAUUGGGUUCUGGAUGGACAGGAGCUUAUCCUACGCCUGGCAGAUCUGGACUAUCCAUGCUGGAGCGCAGCUAAGGCUCCAUGAAGGGCAGUAUUGGGGCCCCCAACCCGCGCAGGCGUUCUGCGGGGGCCCGUCGUGGCGACUUUCCUAGUUGUGGCCUUGAUACGGCCUUUUGUUGUGUGUGAUCCUGGCCACCCUCCUGAGCCGCACUUAGGGCCUCUUCCCUAAGGAGUGCGGUGAAAGGCGCAUCUCUGGUUGCUUGGUGGUGUCCGCUCUGCGGUACGGGGCGGUCCGGUCGCUGGUAUCUCUUCGGGCCUUCGUGCCUUUCCUGGCGUUACAGUGUUGGGUGCUGUCAGCACUACCGGUGUCCCAGUCGGACCCACUGUAAAAUCUAAUAUCAAGGGCAAGGAUUGCGGCUGAGGUAUGAGCCCCAUUCAUUGAAUGCGGUGAACCGCGCGGUCCAUGGCGGAGUCCGUUGUGGGGGGAACACAUUUUCUGUACUGGCCUAGCCUGUAUGGAUUUAAGUGAAGUUUUAAGCGUAGUACCAAUGGUGGGUUCGGACCACUUCCAUCACCCUCCGUGACUUUUCCAAAACGGAGCCCCUCGGAUUUUUUUUCCCAGGUGUUUGACUGUGAAUCAUAAAAGCUUCUAUUACGAACAUUGCUGACGUAAAUCCAAUGCUUUAUUCAAUAGCGAACGUCUCAAAGCGUGCUCGUUUCUGUAAUUACCUGACAUUGCAAUUUUCAGCGAGAUUCCCUUCAAUCCUCACAUGCCGCCCCGGCCCUGACACCUAGGCAGCAGUCCUUCGCAGCUCCUCCCGGCGCGGUACGUGUACGUUAUGAUAAUUGCCUGUCACUAACGAGCAUGCCGUUAUGACUGCCUGCUUUCCCGGUUUGUUGGGGCAACCAGCACAACGCAGAUGCUCAUGAAGCGCAGCCGUGUUUAGUAAUGAGGUGACCUGGGAUACAAACGUUCACAGAAGUUGCCGCUGAGGCAAUGGGAAUGCCGAAGAGGAGGAAACGGGACAUGAUUGCCAUGCAAGUGCUGUAUGUUUGCCACCUGUGCCGUAUAAAUCCGCCACGCCAUGGGCUGAUCAGAAGCUGUUGGCAGACCUUCACAUUAAUUGCGCCCAACCGUGCUCAGUUGCAUAAUUAUGGACACGGAAAAGAAUAAAAAAAGUUUGUUAAGCUAUUAAUACAUUGCCGUUGUGCAGUCCAAGCUAAUGCUCCCCAUCCAGUUGCACUUCGACUUCUCGAAGCAAAGUAUGAGUGUAGAGAUGGGGCAAGUAGUUACUGCGAAGGAACUGCCGUGGUGCGUGGAAGCAGGGCGCAUGCAUGCAUGUACCGGACCACAGUACGGCAGGGGACUCAAAACUUCUACCGCGUUGGUUCUUUAACUGCCGGUGCUUUUACUAUUACCAAGAGGUGUGUCCCGGCGCUGGGACAGUGACCUCUAGUUUCCCCCCACUCACCCACCCACGGGUCAGUAUCUUGCAUAUUGUCCUACUUCAUUGCCCUACUGCUGGCCUCGAGUGGGCCGCACGUGUGUCUCUUCGGCCCUUAUCAGGGCCCUUGAGGUCGUAGGAUUCGCUAGCAGUGCAACACAGGUACCUGUCAUCACUAUCGGCCACUAGUCAACUUUCACAAUGGGUUGCUGUUGGGAGGGGCUUCGCAGCUGAGCCGGCGGCUUGCGGCUUAGCUAAUGUAACGCAACACGACAGGACUGAGCAAUAACUUAUGCUGAUGCGGGAAGGGAACAGACGAACGGUUGGGAGAAAGGCCACUCCCAACGAUGCGCAUUUGAGGACAAAUGUGAGAUAUUAGAAGCUCUUGUGGCCAGUGUUU